GACAGAGGUUGCAACCGUUGUUCGGAAUCACUGGGCGUAAAGCGCACGUAGGUGGUCUGCUAAGUCGUGUGUGAAAUGCCCCGGCUCAACCGGGGAAUGGCGCACGAUACUGGCAGGCUCGAGGUCGGGAGGGGUGAGUGGAACUGCGAGUGUAGAGGUGAAAUUCGUAGAUAUUCGCAAGAACACCAGUGGCGAAGGCGGCUCACUGGCCCGAUACUGACGCUGAGGUGCGAAAGCGUGGGGAGCAAACAGG
rnacentral:rRNA from 1 species